AAAUCAGUGCUCGGUACGUUGGGCGGCUCGGUCUGCCAAGAAGAAAGCGCAGUGAAUCUUGCAGUAGGAUGCAGGAAGUUCAGAGGCUGGGAACGGCGGCGAUACUGGAGCCCAGGCAAUUGGCAAGGAAACCGCAACAACAACAACAAAAGGUUUUUAAGCUAUUGCGCCGAAAUGGAUACUGCUGGAAUUUCUGUCAUGAAUAUUCCACUCAAAAAGGGGGGGGGAAGAUGGCUUGGAGUAACAGUCCAGUUAGUUGGGGCCAUGUUUUGGAGUAGGCACUUUAACUCUUGAGCUCCAGCAAUCAACUUUGGCAACAUGUCGGGAGCUGGAGCCCUUUGGGAGCAUUUCAGGAGAUGGUCAGAACAAUGAAAUCCUUUGGAAGAAGAGGGAUGGUCCUGCAGCACCUACCACACCCACUCCCAGCAAGACUUUACGCUCUCCAAUCCCCCACGGCAGGCAGACGCUACCUUCCCAGGGCGUGCUUCGGAUCUGCAGCUGCCACUCUGUUCAGGUACAUACUCACAGCACAUCCUCAGUGCUUCUGGCAGCAUUGGGAUAAAAGGAGUUCACCCAUGAAACUUGGAAACAUCUCCUGGUGAUAUACCUGCUCUCUCCAAUUUACUCCUCAAAGACUGAGAAGGAUGAAGGUGACUCAAGACAUGGUAAAGGGUUUGUGGUCAAUGAUUGGCAUAUUCUGUCUUCCCCCCAUCUCUCUGCACAGAUCUCCCUCCCUCCCUCCAGGUGACUCCAGCAAAACAAACUUCCAGCUGAUGACCAGUGCAAGACAAAGCACCUGUUUAUAACUACAUCUCAUAGACUCAUAGACGAUAAGGCCAGAAGGGACCAUCAUGAUCAUCCAGUCUGAUCCCCUGCACAUCGCAGACCACAGAAAUUCCCCUUGCACAUAUCUGCAAUUCUGCAUGGCUAUAUUUUAAGGCCAGAAGGUAAAUCAUUAUGAUCACCUCAUCUGACUUCCUGCAUAACACACACCUGAGAAUUUCACUCAGUGCUUCCCGCAUCGAGCCCAUAACUUCUGAACUAGAAUGAUUUAAAGACUUCAAGUGAUGAAGAACCCACUAUCUCCCCAUGUAAGUUGUUCCGACGGUUAAUUACCCACACUGUUAAAAAAUUGCACUUUAUUCCUAGCCUAGAAUUAUCUGGCUUCAGCUUCCAGCCAAUGUCUCCCCUUAUGUCUUCGUCUGCUAAAUUAAAGAGCUCACUACUAUCAAAAAUCUUCUCCCUGCGUAGGUACCUUGUAGUGGUCCGUCCAUCUCAGGCUCAGCGGGAGGCCACUCUGAUCACCGUCUGACUCCUUGAGUGGGGCAGAGCAAUAAGGACUCUUUAGCCUAAGCUAAGGCAGACAGAAAACACAGUCUAGGGGCUUACAACCUUCUGUCUGGGGCAAGCCACAAACAAGGCACAGACCUUCUGGCCAAGGGUGAGCAGGCUGCCACCCCAGGUUUGGGGUUGGCAGCAGUAGGAUAGGGGGACCCGGGCUCAACCUACUCCCUCGGGUUCCAGCACAGAGCCCUAACAGUGGCAGGGAAUCCCGCCACUGAGUCAGUGGUGAUCCUGCUGAAACACACUGACUCAUAUGGUGACAGUACAACCUGACUUGUGUCUGGUUCCCCUGGGCUACUUCCUACCCCAGUCCAUUGGUGUGGCUCUGUAGCCUGCAGGUUCUCUGUCUCCUUCGGGUAAGUGGUGGAUGGCAGUCCCUGCAGCUGUCCUCCACUCUCGGCCUCCUCCGGGGGCAGGGCGUCGCACAGCUCAGGCUCUGGUCUGGAGUUCUGCAGUGAUCUAGAGACGUCUGCCUCCUUCGCUGGCUCUGGGCCAGCUGCGCUGAAGGGCCUGCCUCUUAUACUUCCUGUCCCUCCCCUUGGUUUCCAGCAUGGGGGGCAGAGCUGGCUUGGCUCUACCCUCACAGGGUGAGCCACUC